CGGCCGGACAAGUCCGUUGGGAAAUCGACGUGCCUAACACGUCGGCGUCCAGCGGAAACUGUCCGGCUUGGGGCCGGAAGACUCGAGGGGUACGUCCGGGGUAGGAGUGAAAUCCCGUAAUCCUGGACGGACCGCCGGUGGCGAAAGCGCCUCGAGAGGACGGACCCGACGGUCAGGGACGAAAGCUAGGGUCUCGAACCGGAUUAGAUACCCGGGUAGUCCUAGCUGUAAACGAUGCUCGCUAGGUGUGGCGCAGGCUACGAGCCUGCGCUGUGCCGUAGGGAAGCCGUGAAGCGAGCCGCCUGGGAA
rnacentral:rRNA from 1 species